rnacentral:misc_RNA from 1 species
UCCCCGUUAUCCUGGGCAGUCCCUCCAGAGUUCCCGGCUUUCACCGGGCUCCAGGACAUGUCAAGGGUAGGUAAGGUUUUUCGCGUUGCAUCGAAUUAAUCCACAUAAUCCACCGCUUGUGCGGGUCCCCGUCAAUUCCUUUGAGUUUUAACCUUGCGGCCGUACUCCCCAGGCGGUCGACUUCACGCGUUAGCUUCGUUACUGAGAGUGUCAAACCCCCAACAACCAGUCGACAUCGUUUAGGGCGUGGACUAC